rnacentral:snoRNA from 1 species
AUCAAAUGAUGAUUGAUGGUCCCUCUAAUCUAGAACCUAUCCAUGAAGACUAUGUCCACAUACCCACUACUGAUUUU